ACCAGUUUAUUGUUAAAACUUCUCUCACGAAAAGCGGCAAUCGUUUAACCCUAGUAAAAAUUUUAAGAGUGUAGUGUGUGUCAUUGCAAUAAAAUUAUUAAUCAAAAUGUACACAAAUCCGUUCAGUCGUACGCACAGCCGAAUUCGUCAGGUCAUCGACAAAUUCUUCCAAGUGAAUCACGAAAAAGACCAGAAAAGUAUGAGCAGAUAUUCAUCCAAUAAUUCCAUGUGUUCCAACGAUAGCAGCUCUAAGAAAUUCAUGAAGAAUAACGCCAGGAUGAUUUGGUCAGUGAAAUGAGUAUAAAGUACUGUUGCUGCUCUAUGAUAUUUGAUCUAUGUUGAGAAAUGGAGUUCAUGGGUUAAAAAAAUAUCUGAAAUUUCCUUAUGGUGCUCAGAUUGGAAUUCAAACCUCUUAAGUGGAGGAACUUGGAUUGGCUUGUGUUGGAAUAGUUAUGAAAAUUAUAUGUAUAUAAAACACAAUUAUAUAUUAAAAGAUAUGUAUUAUGA